rnacentral:tmRNA from 1 species
GUUCCGCAAGGGACUAUGGGUGUAGACGGGCCAACUAGGCUGGAUCGGACGGGGGUGCGAAUCCCCCCACCUCCACCA